GGUUAAGCGACUAAGCGUACACGGUGGAUGCCCUGGCAGUCAGAGGCGAUGAAGGACGUGCUAAUCUGCGAUAAGCGUCGGUAAGGUGAUAUGAACCGUUAUAACCGGCGAUUUCCGAAUGGGGAAACCCAGUGUGAUUCGUCACACUAUCAUUAACUGAAUCCAUAGGUUAAUGAGGCGAACCGGGGGAACUGAAACAUCUAAGUACCCCGAGGAAAAGAAAUCAACCGAGAUUCCCCCAGUAGCGGCGAGCGAACGGGGAGCAGCCCAGAGCCUGAAUCAGUGUGUGUGUUAGUGGAAGCGUCUGGAAAGGCGCGCGAUACAGGGUGACAGCCCCGUACACAAAAAUGCACAUACUGUGAGCUCGAUGAGUAGGGCGGGACACGUGGUAUCCUGUCUGAAUAUGGGGGGACCAUCCUCCAAGGCUAAAUACUCCUGACUGACCGAUAGUGAACCAGUACCGUGAGGGAAAGGCGAAAAGAACCCCGGCGAGGGGAGUGAAAAAGAACCUGAAACCGUGUACGUACAAGCAGUGGGAGCCUCUUUAUGGGGUGACUGCGUACCUUUUGUAUAAUGGGUCAGCGACUUAUAUUCUGUAGCAAGGUUAACCGAAUAGGGGAGCCGAAGGGAAACCGAGUCUUAACUGGGCGUUAAGUUGCAGGGUAUAGACCCGAAACCCGGUGAUCUAGCCAUGGGCAGGUUGAAGGUUGGGUAACACUAACUGGAGGACCGAACCGACUAAUGUUGAAAAAUUAGCGGAUGACUUGUGGCUGGGGGUGAAAGGCCAAUCAAACCGGGAGAUAGCUGGUUCUCCCCGAAAGCUAUUUAGGUAGCGCCUCGUGAAUUCAUCUCCGGGGGUAGAGCACUGUUUCGGCAAGGGGGUCAUCCCGACUUACCAACCCGAUGCAAACUGCGAAUACCGGAGAAUGUUAUCACGGGAGACACACGGCGGGUGCUAACGUCCGUCGUGAAGAGGGAAACAACCCAGACCGCCAGCUAAGGUCCCAAAGUCAUGGUUAAGUGGGAAACGAUGUGGGAAGGCCCAGACAGCCAGGAUGUUGGCUUAGAAGCAGCCAUCAUUUAAAGAAAGCGUAAUAGCUCACUGGUCGAGUCGGCCUGCGCGGAAGAUGUAACGGGGCUAAACCAUGCACCGAAGCUGCGGCAGCGACACUAUGUGUUGUUGGGUAGGGGAGCGUUCUGUAAGCCUGUGAAGGUGUGCUGUGAGGUAUGCUGGAGGUAUCAGAAGUGCGAAUGCUGACAUAAGUAACGAUAAAGCGGGUGAAAAGCCCGCUCGCCGGAAGACCAAGGGUUCCUGUCCAACGUUAAUCGGGGCAGGGUGAGUCGACCCCUAAGGCGAGGCCGAAAGGCGUAGUCGAUGGGAAACAGGUUAAUAUUCCUGUACUUGGUGUUACUGCGAAGGGGGGACGGAGAAGGCUAUGUUGGCCGGGCGACGGUUGUCCCGGUUUAAGCGUGUAGGCUGGUUUUCCAGGCAAAUCCGGAAAAUCAAGGCUGAGGCGUGAUGACGAGGCACUACGGUGCUGAAGCAACAAAUGCCCUGCUUCCAGGAAAAGCCUCUAAGCAUCAGGUAACAUCAAAUCGUACCCCAAACCGACACAGGUGGUCAGGUAGAGAAUACCAAGGCGCUUGAGAGAACUCGGGUGAAGGAACUAGGCAAAAUGGUGCCGUAACUUCGGGAGAAGGCACGCUGAUAUGUAGGUGAAGUCCCUUGCGGAUGGAGCUGAAAUCAGUCGAAGAUACCAGCUGGCUGCAACUGUUUAUUAAAAACACAGCACUGUGCAAACACGAAAGUGGACGUAUACGGUGUGACGCCUGCCCGGUGCCGGAAGGUUAAUUGAUGGGGUUAGCGGUAACGCGAAGCUCUUGAUCGAAGCCCCGGUAAACGGCGGCCGUAACUAUAACGGUCCUAAGGUAGCGAAAUUCCUUGUCGGGUAAGUUCCGACCUGCACGAAUGGCGUAAUGAUGGCCAGGCUGUCUCCACCCGAGACUCAGUGAAAUUGAACUCGCUGUGAAGAUGCAGUGUACCCGCGGCAAGACGGAAAGACCCCGUGAACCUUUACUAUAGCUUGACACUGAACAUUGAGCCUUGAUGUGUAGGAUAGGUGGGAGGCUUUGAAGUGUGGACGCCAGUCUGCAUGGAGCCGACCUUGAAAUACCACCCUUUAAUGUUUGAUGUUCUAACGUUGGCCCCUGAUCGGGGUUGCGGACAGUGUCUGGUGGGUAGUUUGACUGGGGCGGUCUCCUCCUAAAGAGUAACGGAGGAGCACGAAGGUUGGCUAAUCCUGGUCGGACAUCAGGAGGUUAGUGCAAUGGCAUAAGCCAGCUUGACUGCGAGCGUGACGGCGCGAGCAGGUGCGAAAGCAGGUCAUAGUGAUCCGGUGGUUCUGAAUGGAAGGGCCAUCGCUCAACGGAUAAAAGGUACUCCGGGGAUAACAGGCUGAUACCGCCCAAGAGUUCAUAUCGACGGCGGUGUUUGGCACCUCGAUGUCGGCUCAUCACAUCCUGGGGCUGAAGUAGGUCCCAAGGGUAUGGCUGUUCGCCAUUUAAAGUGGUACGCGAGCUGGGUUUAGAACGUCGUGAGACAGUUCGGUCCCUAUCUGCCGUGGGCGCUGGAGAACUGAGGGGGGCUGCUCCUAGUACGAGAGGACCGGAGUGGACGCAUCACUGGUGUUCGGGUUGUCAUGCCAAUGGCACUGCCCGGUAGCUAAAUGCGGAAGAGAUAAGUGCUGAAAGCAUCUAAGCACGAAACUUGCC
rnacentral:rRNA from 1 species